rnacentral:misc_RNA from 1 species
GUACCCUCAAGCUUUGCUUGGUGUUGGAUCCCGCCGUCGAAAGACACGGUGGACCCCAAAGACAAUGGCAGAGUCCGUGGAGGCCCUAGGCGCAGCGAGCUUACAGCACGCGUCUGGACGGCUUUCCGACUCGGUCUUAACCGAUCUAUUUUCU